GCGGGGGUUGUGGGGGGAGUGUGAUGACGAGGAAAGGAACCAAAAGAAGAAACAACUUACUGUAAUCAUAGUCAUGUUCAAUCAGACACCUGCUAUUAAGAUGAUAAAUACACUUUUCCCAGUGUGAGUCCGGACACACUGAGUACCCCUAAGGCACUGUUCUGCUCUUUAACUACCUACUCUGCCUGGCUUCUUCACUCUCCUCCCAUUAACUCGCAUUUCAGCCGGUCUCACAAGACGUCCCGAAAUCCGCUCCUUAUAGAGCACUGCAUGAUGGACUAAAUGUAGUCCUCGACAGUGGGACUGAGAACAGGUUCGGUGAGUGGUUUUUCUUGCUUUUGGACAAUGAAAGGAGAGGGAGUUGGGAACAUUUUUAGUCCAUUACUCCCAUCGGUGCCCACAUGCUGGUGACGGGGCCAAGAGGAUGCCUCCUGUAGAGAAUCUUACUCAGCGCAGUGUCACGGCCGCUGUGACACCUGAUAAACAUUAAGUACAGGCUGCUAUUCCUAAGUGCUGUUGUUGUUUUUUAAAAAUUCAUAUUAUUUCUUCUUAUUAAUGUUCAACGGCUGUCUUGCAACUAGGCUGUCAGCGAUAAAACACCGCUGUGAGAUGUGAUGAGGGGAAAUGGGAUGAUUUUCUGCACUAGAAGAGCAUACAGCUAGACCAUGUUUAAGAUUUUCAAGUGGCGUUCUUGUUGUAAUUGGGGAAAUACAUGUGAUUAAAUAUCCACAGUCUUUUCUGUAUU